CUCUGAAAAAAAUUUAAAAAAACUUGACCAAAAUUCCAUAGCAAUUGAAUUCAGAUUCUCUUGAGCCCAGGACUUGCUCACACCAUUUCUCUGGAUAAAGGUUAUUAAAGUGGGAAAUUACCAAUACAGAGUCAAGUAGAAAUAUAAGAGUAUUUAAUAGGGAAAAGUCUUACUUACAGAGCAACCUAGCCAGCCGGUGCGGCAGCAGUCUGUACAGCGAGCCAAAAAGGAAAACCGAAAGUGAAACACAGCCCUGAACCUCUCACUCUACGUCACCCUGACCAUGCCCUAGCAGGCAUGGUUAGGCAGACCUGUAGCCAGCCCCUAAGUAGGCGUGGCUAAGGUUCCCCUACAAUUCCCCUUUUAGUCUAAAAGAGGAUUAAAACUUAACAGUGUAAAGUAUCCAAAAUUAACAAUUACAAAGGUGAAAUUUAAGAAGAUACAACAAUCUGCUCAUGUCACAUCCUAUCUAUCUAUUUUAACUAAACCCUAAAGUCAUCUGAAAGAGGUGUCCAAGCCUGAAUACCUCCUUCCAAUCCCAAUCAUAAACAAUAGGAAGCUAUCCCUAACUAGUUAUAUACACUAUCCUAAAUGACAACAAUGGGGAAAGGGGGCAUAGCAUCCUCCAAGUUACUUCCUGCUGAAAUGGGACGACUACAUCCUUGUGCAGUCCUGUAGGAAAAAAAAUGUUAGUAUAGUAAAAGUCUUGCAUGAAUUGUAUACAGUCCAUGUUAGAUGGGAUUUGGUUGAUUGAAGAUCUCACUUGAAAUCCUCAACUUGAUUGAAGUCAGUACCUGAAGCUCUGGCGGGAGUGUCAGUUGAAAUGGAGCAAGUUGAAUCUAGUGCAGGCGAGGAGGUGUGGCCCAUUUUCUUUCCGGGGUAUCCAGGGAUUGCUGUCAGGGAGGUCUUCAUUGGCUGCGUGGGACUCAAACAUAAACAGUUAUCAGAGAACUGUUUGCUUGUGAUGUACACAUACUGGGAAAGGCAACCAUGGGAGCAUAACAAUUAUGAGAGGGUAUACACCUUGAAAGUAAGAUCCAAGAAACGACAAAGACAGUUCCCAAAUUCUUCUUUUAUUCUGUAUUACAUCAAUUGCCUUCUUGAUACAAUACAGAAACUCUGAAGUUUAGUUAAAUAAUGUGCUUGGAUUUUAGAGGGGGAAAGCCAAAUCCACCUCUAAAUCCAGCAUUGGUUUAAUUGAAUAGGGACUAGAAAAGAGAAAUAGAAUUCUCUGGGGACAGCUGUAAAGUUAACCAUAUGGCACCUUCCUUUUGUUUGAUGGUUAUAGCUACCUUCUCUUCUUAAGUAUCUACCCACAGAGUGUCCUUUGCCUUCUGGAGAUGAGAUUUCCUGUGAAGAUAAAAGCAAAACACUUCCCUUUCCUUUGGGAGGUUUCUAUUUAGUUUAUAAGAUAUACCUUAGUAGAAUAACUGUCAUUUCUCCUCGUGGAGAGGUUUUUCCUUUUCAACUCGAAUCUUGAUCAACUUUGAUGGUAUCCAAAGUUUUUCUUCUCCUAUGGAAACCAAUGCAAAACCCCUACCCCAACGUAACACAUGUCCUGGAUUCCAUACAGAGGUUAGUACAUCUUUGAAGUAUACCGGCUGAUUCAGUUCAGCGGUUUUCUCCAUAGUCCAGUGUCUUUCUGCAGCUGUUUGUCCUUUUUCAUUGGCAUUAAGAAAGUUUAGUGUUAAUAAAGCAUUAUGCAACCUAUGUUUGGGUGGUUUAGUCUUCCAAGCUUGUUUGCUGAGCAUCUCCUUAAGUGUUCUAUUAGAUCUCUCAACCACUGCUUGUCCCGUAGGAUUGUGUGGUAUACUGGUGACAUGCUUUAUGUUAUAAUAUUUGAAAAAUUGUUCCAAUUUUGUGGAGACAUAUGCUGGAGCAUUGUCAGUUUAUCUUAUUGAUUGUUAAAUAAGGUACUGUUUGGCCAAUGAGACAGCAAGUUAGAUAGGACUAGGAGUCAAAGAGAAUUCUGGGAAAUGUAGUAGAGAUGUGGUGUUCCAGGCAGGAAGUGACAUAGCAAGGAGACAUAUUUAAGCAAGUGAAAGAGGAAGGGCUCCCCUUUUUCCUCUUUCUCCUCCAGCAGUGCAAUGUGAUCCACCGGCAAGGAGGGACACCAAUAAGGUGUCCGAUAAGGUAAGUCUUAUAACAUAUAUAGAUUUAUGAUAAUUAAGACUGAGCUAGCAGAUGAGAAUCCUAGUCAUUGGCCAAGCAGCAUUGUACCUAAUAUGUCUCUGUAUUAUUUUGUCCAUCCACAUGGUGGGCAGAACUCAGGCGGCUGGUGGAGACCGCCCAUGUGGCGGUAGGGAUCGGGCGGCUUUUGACGGAAAGAUUUAUCGUAACAGGUUAUCCAUUAGUGCAUGUGGGCCUUUUUGUUGUUGGAGCUUAUUGUUCUGUUUUUUUUUUUAUUCAUAUGUCUGCUUCACAGACUGAUUUUACAGUGGGACAGAGAUCAAAUAAGGAUAGUUUGAUUGGGAUUGGAGAUGUUGGAAGCCACAUGGUGAGGCUAAGUUGAAGACAGUGUUGGAAGGGAAGGUAAAAGUGGAUAGGGGAAAGUCAUGUGCCAGAACCCAGCUGUAGUGUCUGUAAUAUGUGGUACAUGGAAUCAUAGACUUUACCAGGAAGUCAGAACUAUGAGUGCAGCACUGUUUUCUGUCUAUGCCAUUGACUUUCAGUAAUGUUCGGGCACUCUAAGACAGGUAUUAGCUAAAUACAGAUAGGUCCUGGAUGAGGGUUGGAUAAUAUCUUUCAUGCCUACAAAGACCAUGGAUUAUGAAAACAAAUGAUGCUAGACAGAUUAAAAACAGAUAAACAUAGCACAGAAGUGGCAUGUGGUAAUGGGACAAAGACCCAUAGAUUGUCCAUAUGACUCUCCAAAUCAUACAGCUAGUCAGCAAUAAACCUUUUAAAAACACCAAGGUCUCUGGUUUUCUAUUACCACAGUUACUUACAUUCUUCAAGUGUAUACUUUUGUAUUCAUAAUCACAGAUGUAUUGACUCUAGUGCACUGCUUUAAACUCUCAAAAAAUCCAAGGCGUAGAGAAGAAAAGAAGAUAAAUGGCAUAGUCAGGUCUCCAAGCUAUUAGCUUAAGGCUCUCUCAACUUAUUCAAGAAGUUCCUAUAGAGUUGGAAAAUACACUUGAUUUGUGGGCAGCCAAAACACUAUGUGAGUGCAUAGUGAUAUUCUCCUAUGUGAAAAGCAGGAUAUAUUUUUAAUUAUACAUUCAGAAGGAAAACUGUUAUGUCUAUUAGGUUAACCUGCCUUAACCAUAAACUAAUAUGACUAUUAUGUUAAAAUAACUGGUGUAUAUUAUUGGUAGUUACCUCAUAGCAUAGCAUUGUGAAGUAGGAGAUUUGAAAAGUCCUAUAAAUAGUAUAGAAAAUACCAUUUUCAUAUUAAAGAUAAACAAUCAGAUUAGACUCAGCUUACUGAAAUAACAUUAGUAAGAAAUAUUCUUGUUGUUCCUAUCACAUAGUUGCCUCUUACUCAGAAAGCUGGGCUGGUAAAGCAGAGGUCAAAAGUCUAACUGGUAAAACUGUCUCCACCACGGAAUAGCCUUCUUUGCUGAGCACUCACAGUACAGUUGGAAUGAGGAUCAUAAAGGGGAUGGUAGCAUGAGUAGCCGAUGCCAGUGUCUUUGUAAUGGAUACUCUUCUAUACUUGAGAAAAGGGGUAAAGAGGCAAGUUUGUGCACAAGGACCCUGCAUUCUCUGUCAUGUGGUAUCACGUGGUAUUGCUCUGUCAAUGGGGCAUCUUCAGUAGUGAGAAUCAUAUUGGGAACUUUGAAGAUGACACAGCAAGUAGGAGUCAUAUUCUCAGAUCCAGUGAUGGAAGUAAUGACGUGCCCCCUCUUUUUGAAGAAAAGUUAGACACAUGAUUUUUAAAAAUUAGAAUUGAAUUAAGCUUUUUCAAACUUCAGUAUAGGUUAAGAAAGGAAAACAAAUUCAAGAUAGAAUGUCAUAUUUGAGUGUUAGCUUGUUGAAUUAUAGUACAGCUUAGGAUGUAGCUGUUCUAACAGGGCAGAGCAGAUCCUUGAUGCCUAAGACAGUACCAAAGAGCAAGAUGUGUGGGAAGCUCACAGGGAGCCUCUUAACAAAUUACUGUUGUUUUUAAGACACAUUUAUUCCCUGCCAGGAAGGAAAUACAGUAUUGGUGUAGGAAAAAAGACUGUAUAAAAAGAGGACUGGUUUGCAAGAAAGGAGUUUCCAUCUUGGUGACUCUGGUUUUUGUUUUGGUGACCUAGGAAAAGUCAUUCUUUCUAAGCCUUCACCUCCAAAAGUGAGGCUCCCUUCCCUGCCUUAACCAUUUUAUUGGUUUAUUGGUGAUCUAUAAGAGGAUGGUGUGUUAACAAAGCACUUUAUAAUAUGUAACAUGAUCUUCAAGUAAAAAGGGAAUGCUAACAGUUUGCUAAAUUGGUUUUCUAUAUGAAUAUAGUGAAAAGUGCAGUGAAAUCAGAGCAUAAGUUUCUGAAUUCCACAUUAUUAGCUGUACUACCUUUAGUAAGAUUUCUUUGUUUUCAGGUCCACUUUCCUCAUCCACAAACAGGAUAACAGUGCUUCUUUCUAUUGUGAGAAUUAAAACCUUCUGUAAAUAAGUCAUUGAGUGCUACAGUAAUUGUUCAACAAAUAUUUCAUUUCUAAAUAUACAGCUUAGUUUGAAGAUUUAGGUGAGGACAUUAUAAAAUAAUUACUAUUAUUUCUUAUUUCUGGAAGGAUGUGAUGUUAAACAAAAAUGAGUGAUUUAGUAGAUAAAUAAAACCUAAAACAGAUACAUUUCAGAAGGCUAUUGCAGAGAUGAAGUUGGGGCAAAGUUUCAGUCAAGAUGUGACUUAACUUGGUCUCUUGUGCAUGAGAAAGUUAUCAACAAACGUGGAUGCUGGAAAUGAUUUUCAUAAACAGGACAGCAGGGAAAAAACCCUGAAAGAAAGAAAAAAAGGAAGAAAGAAAGAAAGAAAGAAAGAAAGAAAGAAAGGAAGGAAGGAAGGAAGGAAGAAAAGAAAGAAAGGAAGGAAGAAAGAAAGAAAGAAAGAAAGAAAGAAAGAAAGAAAGAAAGAAAGACUAGGUUGUAUCUUCUAGAGAAGAUCAUGAAAGGUAGAGCACCCAGGGUGUGGAAAAUGUAAAUCUUAGGGGUGAAGACAGGAUCUACAGAUACCUACAAGGGCAUGGCAAACCUUGGUUGUAUCUCCUCAGGAGUUUGCUUUAUUCCAUGAAUUGUGAGAUGCCAUCCUAAAAACUGACAGAGAAGCACAAUAAAACUAGAACAUGGAGGAGGGAAUAAUGAGAAGUGGUACUAGGAGCUGAGACACUAUAGAAGCUAUAGAACUGAGACAGUGACAUGAGCUAAACUGUCAUGGAGGAGGAGGUGCUCUAACCAUCUCAAGGACAAGACUGUUGCUAGAUUUUACUGUGCAAUAAAUAUUGGUGUAAUAUUUCCAAAGGAAACAUUUCCUUUUUCCAUUAGAUCUCCUUCUAAAACUGAAAUUAUUUUGGUCAAUGAAGGAGAGCAUAGGAGGCUUUAACUGGCUUUCUGAGCACACCAGUUUUUAAGAUGGUUGAAUAGGGAGACCCGUGAUAAUAGAUCCCAUCUUAUGAACUUCUGUCUGACUCUCUUUCUGGUGGCCUCCUUUGAGAUAAUAGUUUGUGACUUCAAUAUGUUCCAUCAUUCUAAAAUAAAUCCAGCAUUCUUUUAUUUUACUCUCAGCUUUACAAUCAUCAGACCUCAUUAGUGUUGCCAAAAGAGAUUAUAUUAAAGCUUAAUACUAAAAUGUUAACAUCUGUUCUGGUCUUGGGUUUUAUUGAAAAUUUCAAACUUUUAGAUGUAGAAAUAUCAAACGGAAAGCAGAAGUUCCCAGUAUGGCUAAAGUGACUUUGUCUUUCUGACAGUGCUAGAGGAGAAUGGGAGAUAAAUUAUAUCCUUAGGGAAGAAUAAGAAAAGAAUCUCAUAGAUUUUUCUGUACUGAAUAUAUGCACUGGUCUCUGUUCAGGGUUGGUUAGUGUCAUAUAAGUUAAUUCUUUUUUAGAGGAAAUACUUUUUGCCCAUCUAGUUCUUUAGUUCCAUUUCUCAAGCUGUAGUAAUCAGGGUCCCAAUAGGAAACAGAUGGCCCCGUGAUGGGGUUACUUCAGGAAGAUGUGAUGAAGAGAUUACUAUGGAUAUGUGGACAAGAUGAAACAGUUAAACACCUUGUUUCUAUUAAGAGCCUAGCCCUGGAGCCAUUAUCAACCUUGGGUCUGAAGAAGCAUGAACUGAGUGAUUACUUGAAUUUAGGGCUGUGAAGCCAGGAGGGGGCCAUCUGUGACUGCUUCAUUGUCAACCUGAUUACAUGUAGAAUUUCCUAGGAGACUGAGUCACACCAUUGGGUGUGCCUAUAAGGGCAUUAGAAAGAUGACUAACUGAGGGGAAAGAUAAGUCCUGAGUGCAGGUGGCAUCAUUCUUUGGCCUAGGGGCACAGAUACUCUAAAUGAGGGGAAGGAUAAAGGCAGAAAAUGAAUUGUUCUCUAGUGUCCUCCUUGUCUCUGUUUCCUGACCCUCUGUGACAUGAAUUUUUCUGCCCUGCCAUGCCCUCUCUCCCAUGAUGGACAAACCAUUUCAAAUAGUGAGCUAAAAUAUACUUUUCAUGCCUUAUUAUCUUUGUCAAGAAUUUUUAUCACAACAUUUAAAAGAGUAGGUAAUACACUAUCCAUGGCCUUCGUAAAAAAUGCUGAUAGUGACUAAGUUAUGAUAUGACAGAAUGGUAUUUUAAAAAAGAUUAAAUGUACUCCUUUUUUUCCUUCCCUCCAGCUCUUGUUGUCUCUUGUGGGUAUUGCCACUGGACAUACCCAACUGGAAUCCAGUGUGCACAGGGCUGCUGUUCAAACUCCCUGAACACAAAGCAAGAUUAAUGAGACAGGUGGCUGUCUGUAUCAAGACUGUUAUGGACCAGCCCAUAUUUAGGAUUCAUUUGUUGUUGUUACCACCCAUGCUGAUGGGGUGGUUAAAGAUCUGAUUUUAGAGUAAGAAAGUCUUUUAUUUCUCAGUUUGGAAUUCAUUAACAUUGGGGAGUUGCACUUCUAAGAAGAUUUUUUUAAUUUAUAUAUUUAUUACAGACAAGGUCCCAUAUAACCCAAGCUAGAUUGAACUUUCUAAGUAACUGAGGAUCAACUUGAACUUACAAUUUUCUUACCAUCCCCUCCAAUGUACUUUUAUUACCUUUCUUCCUUCAUCUCCGCUUUUCUUGAUUACAAGCAUGUGGCACCAUUUUCAGUUUUACAGUGUACUGGGCCUUUAAGCAUUCUAUUCAAGCCUCUACCAACUGUAUUACACUCAUAGCUUCAAAAAGGCUUGUAUGUAGACCCUCUCUCUUAAUGGAAGGGCUUCUAAUUUGUCUACUUUUAUCCCACCUUAAAGGGAUCAUUGCCUCUCUGCUUUGUUUCUAUACAAUGAGAUAAAAACACCUACUCAAGAGGAUUGAUGUAGGGAUUGAACCAAAGUAGCUGCAAAAACGUUAUACAGGGAAUGCAUUAGAUUCAAUUUUUUUAGUCCAAAGUUCAAAUCUUCUGAUGGAAUCUGUAAUUUGAGUUGAGUGGUUGAUUCCACAGAUGGAGUAGGUUGUAUGUCAGUUACUUUUUUUUUUCUCUCACCUCAAUUAAAUGCUUACAAGAAGCAAAACAGAGGGAAGGGUUUAUUUUAGUUCAGCAUUCCAUGACAGGGAAGGAAUGGUGACUGGGGAUCCUACUUUGGUACUGCAGUUUGCUGUAGGUCACAGCAUCUGUUGUGGGAGAUUAGAAGCAAAGAGAGGAAGGAAGCAGAGCGGGUUAAAGCCUCAAGGAGUGGGCAUUAGCAGUAACUUCCUCUAGCAAGGGUGUACAUCCUAAAGGUUCCACAGCCUUCUAAAACAGCACUGUCAGCUAUGGAUUAAGUGUUCAAACCCAUGAGCCUGUAGGAGACAUUUUACAUUUAAACCACAACAGUUGGUAUAAUUGAGUGAAGCUGUUACGGUACUGGAUAUUAUGAAAUAAAAGUCUUUGACAGUUUUAGAGUCCAGAAAUUAAUUUAGGUUCAUUAUAUAUUGCUUCAUUAAAUUCUUUAUAGACAAUGGAAUCAUUGCUUUGGAUGUUCAACUUUUAAUUUUUUUUCAGACAAGAGUUGAAGAGUGAAUUGAUUUAUAUUUCCUUCAUUAGUACAUAAAAUUCGUAAGGUUCUGCUGGACUAAGUAUCAUUAUUUUUCACCCCAAAGAGCCACAAGAAGAGGCUCUCUGCUUUCAUCCUUGCAUGCACUCAAUCUAUUCUCAACACAGUUGCCAGCUUGUUCUCCAGGAACCACAAUUAGGAUUAUUCCACUCUUGGAUCAAAGUCUUUCAUCACUGCCCCACUUCACUCUCAUGCUAAAGAAAGUCCUCUCUUCUUUCCCAUCACUUAGAUAUUCUUGCUUCUUUCCUCCUUUCUCUUGUAUUACUCUCUAUCACACUGCCCUGUGGUUCUAGGAGUAUUCCUAGAAUGAUUCCAACUCAUGCCUUUUUUUUUUUUUGUUCCUGCUUCAUGUUUCCUUAUUCUAAAUAUCCUUUCUUAUUUCCAUUAAGUGUUGUUAUCUUGGCAAGUUUUCCUUAAUCACCCUUAGAAUUCCUGUAUGGUUUUUCUAUGCAAAUGGUGUUCAGCAUCAUUUGAUGAAGAGUAUAUUUGCUUGUUCAUUACCUGUCUCCUUCACUGAACUGUCAGCUUCUCAUGGACAGGCACUUGGUUUUAUUCACCAGCUUAUCUAUAGUGCUUAGCUCUGUAUACUCUGUGUGUUCAGUAAAUAGUUGAUGACAAAUUGAAGGUGCUUACACUGAAAUUCUUUAGUUAAAGAACACUUUCUGAAAUGUUAAGUUUGUCUGACACAAGUCUAUGAGGAUUGUCUGGUCCAAUACAUAGAUUGUAUUGGUCUUCUUGGCUCAGUUAAAAAGUCCAGAAGAUAAAUUCUACAUCUGAAUGGAGCUUGGUUUACAGGUACUGAAGGUGAUUAUCAACUCAGAAUUUGGAUCUCUCCUUACCUACCUUCUUGCUUUCAAAGCCUUUCUUGGUGGCUAGUGAAACUUAUAACCCCUUCCCUCACAUUCUGUAUUAAGUAAAUUAUCAUCUUAAUUUUCUAGGAAAGUAUUUCAUAGACAUCUGUCUACUCAGAGACCGUGAUGAAUGGAUAAAAGAUAUACUGAAUCGAUAACUAGGUGUCCUUAGGAUAAAAUAUGCCAGGGAGGGGCACAUCUCUGGGUGAGUAAGUGAAGGAGAGAAUAUAAAAAUUAUCAAACUGUUUAGUAAAUGGCUGUGUCUUUCACAUAAGAUGUGUUUUGGCUGAAGAGAUGAUAGUUCAGUGGUUCAUAACAUUGUUGAUCUUGCAGAGGACCCACAUUUGAUUACCAGCACCCACAUGGUGGCCCACAACUAUCUGUAACUUAAAUCUAGUUGCAGAGGAUCUGAUGCUUUCUUCUAGCCUUCCCGAGCACCAGACACACAGUGGUACAUAUAUAGAUACACAAGCAAAACAGUCAUAUACAUAAAAUGAAAUAAAUAAAUCUAAAGGUAAUUUUUAAAAAAUCCAUUGAGGGGUCCCCACAGGUAUCACUGCAGUCAGGAAAAUGAACCAUGAAGAGGUGGUAAUGAAAACUCAGUUCAGCCUGACUUAGUCUGCCAGGCUGGAUCAAACUUCAGGAGUUUGAUGCCAGGCAGUUUAUUGGCAGCAUAUUUGCAGUGGUACAAUUUGAUAAGUUUUUUGGUGCAUUCAAUCCUUGGUGCACAGGAAGCAUAAGUACAUCCAAACUCAACUCAUGGUACAUGUCAUUUUUUCUUCCAGAUAGGCUACCUGUAUUAGCUUAAGUACCUAGAGAGGGAUCUGGCAUAGUCUCUUUCACCCUUUGAGUUCUUGUUCUUGCUCUUCAAUUUACCCAAAAACUUAUACUUUCCCUAACUCCUACUCAUGAGUGAUGGGGUCCUCUGCUAUAGAUCUCAGCUUAAAUAGAAUUUCCUUUAUGCAUAAGAGGAUUCUCCACAUUGAAUCUCUCUGCUUGGGUGGGGCUGUGACUUCACUUAACCAAUGAGUUGUGACAAGAGUGACAUAUGACACGUCUAGGCUCCAGAGUUUUAUAGGUAACUACUGAUCUUUUUGAGCUAUAUUCCCUUUGCCAUUUUGAGGUACUUCAUUAUCCUUGGUCACAUCACAACCUUCAAGAGACCUGUAACAUGAGAGAGAAACAAGGUUCUGUUGUUUUAAGCCAUUGAUACUCAGGGAAUGUUUGUUACCACAGAAUAGUCAUCUUUGCAUUAUUUGUAAUAGCCAGAACCUAGAAAGAAAGUAGAUGCCCCUCAACUGAAGAAUGGAUAGAGAAAAUGUGGUACAUUUACACAAUGGAGUACUACUCAGCGGGGGAAAACAAAAAACAAAAAAACAAUGGAAUCUUGAAAUUUGCAGGCAAAUGCACGAACUAGAAGAAACCAUUCUGAGCAAGGUAACCCAGUCACAAAAAGACAAACAUGGUAUGUACUCACUCAUAUGUGGAUUUUAGACAUAGAGCAAAGGAUUACCAUCCACACUGCCAGGGAAGCUGGUAAAAAAGGAGGACCCUAAGAGAGACAUACAUGGUCCCCUGGAGAAGGGGAAAGGGACAAAAUCUCCUGAGCAAAUUGGGAGCAUGGGGGGAGGGGAGAGGGAACUAGGAGAAUGAGAAGGGGAGAAGAGGAGGGAUGAGGAAGACAUGAUGGGGCAGGGAAGUUGAGUUGGGGAAGAACAGAAGACAGCAAGAUAAGAGAUAAUAUAAUAGAGGGAGACAUUAUAGAUUUAAAGAGAAAUCAGGCACUAGGGAAAUGUCUGGAGAGCAACAAAGAUGACACCAACUAACAAUCUAAGCAACAGAGGAGAGGCUACCUUAAAUGCUCUCCCCUGAUAAUGAGAUUGAUGACUAAUUCAUAUGACAUUUUAUAGCCAUCAUCCAACAGCUGGUGGAAGUAAAAGCAGACACCCACAGCUAAACCUUGAAUUGAACUGAAAUCCAGUUGCAGAGAAGGAGGACUGAUGAGCAAAGGGGUCCAUACCAGGCUGGUGAAACCCACAGAAACAGCUGACCUGAACAAGGAAGAGCUCUUGGUCCCCAGACUGAUAGCUGGGAAACCAGAAUGGGACUGAUCCAGACCCCCUGAAAGUGGGUGUCAGUGAGGAGACCUUGGAAAUCUAUGGGACCUCUUGUAUUGGAUCAGUACUUAUCCCUAGCAUAGGAAUGGACUUUGGGAGCCCAUCCCACAUGGAGGGAUAAUCCCUGAGCCUAGACUCAAGGGGGUUGGCCUAGGCCCUAUCCCAAAGAAUAAGACAGACUUUGAAGACCCCCUAUGGAAGGCCUCACCCUCCCUGGGGAGCAGAAAGGGUAUGGGAUAGGUAGGGGUCAGGGGAGGAGGGGAGGGAGAGGGACCUGGGAUUGACAUGUAAAAUAAUUUUUCUUCUAAUUAAAAUAAAAAAAGACUUCCAGAGUGAGAUCAUUGCCUGGUUUGUUUGGACUGGGAAUUUUUAGGUUCUCACGGUAUCAUUCAAGGAAUUGAAAAAAAAUACACACACAAAGAAGUAUCAAAAAUACAGAAAAAUUAUCAAGAGCAAAGCAAAGUUUCAUAUUUCAGAUAUACUGCCAGGAGAGCCCGUGAGCUAGUUGAAUGAAUGAGAAGUCCAGACAAAACAAAACAAAGACAAGGAAGAUACAACAAUGAACAUCAAAAUAAAGAAGCAAUAAGACAAAAAAGAAAACAAACAAAGCAAAAUGAAACAAAAAGUCUACAAAAUCAUUAUUGAGUUCAUUUUGUGUUUGUCAACUACUCUUGGGCAUGGGGCAUGCCCUGAAGUGUGGUUAAUAUAUUCAAUGAGACGCUAUUGGAGAAAACUAACUUUUUCUAUGUCAGUGGGUAUCAAUUGCAGAGAGCUUCUGGGUUAGGGGUUGGUGUCCUUGUCUACUUCCCCUUCUCAGUGCUGCAGUCCAUUAAACUUGAACUUGUACAGGACUUGUGCAUGCUGCCACAGUCUCUGUGAGUUCAUAUGGACAUCCAGUCCUGCUGUAUCUGGCAGAUGUUUCCUCAGAGUCAUCCAGCCUCUCUGACUCUUACAAUCUCUUUGCCUUCUCUUUCUCAUAUAUACCUGUGGCCUUGAUGCGAGGGCUUUGAUGAAAUCAUCCUGUUUAGGACUGACUGCUCCAAAGUCUCAUUCUGUGCACAUUGGAUCUCUGUUGUAGUUCCCAAUCUACUGCAAGAAGAUUCUUUGAUGAGAGAUGAGUGAGACACUGAUCUCUGGGAUUAACUGGAUGUUUUAUUGGGAUUUUUGUUGUUGUUUUUGUUUUUGAGACAGGGUUUCUGUGUGUAACAGUCCUGGAUGUCCUAGAACAUGCUUUGUAGACCAGGCUGGCCUUGAACUCACAGAGAUCCACCUGCCUCUACCUCCCAAGCACUGGGAUUAAAGGUGUGCACCAUCACUGUCCAGCUUAUUGAUACUUCUUUAACAGAAUAAAGUGUUAAAUUUUCCCAUAGGAAAAUUCUGUCUAUGAUCUAUCUUGUCUCAAUUUCUUUGGCCACUUUUCC
ensembl:lncRNA